UAACAAUUUUAAGAGUUGCGAUAUUUUUGUUUUGUUUUGUUUUGUUUUUUUUCUUUACAUUCUUCGAUGUGUUGAUGAAAACAAAGAUUUGGAUAUCAAUAAUAAGACUGAAAGAGACGGUAAUCAGCUGUCACACCAUGCAGGCAAUUUUCCCGUCACUUUCAUGCUGAUGCUCGCGGUUGUGGUGGCCGGUUACUUUGCCUAUCACAACAGAACCAAGAUCCAUCGAUUCAUAAAGGAAGGCUUUGGCAAGGCAAGGCAAACAGGGUCAGCUUACGUCAAAGUCAAACUGGACGAUGAUAUCGAACUACCACGUGAAGCUAACAGGCAAUACGUCUAUUAAAACAUGACUGGAUGUGAUU